rnacentral:rRNA from 1 species
GGGCCUGCACAAGCGGUGGAGUAUGUGGCUUAAUUCGAUGCAACGCGAAGAACCUUACCUGGCCUUGACAUGCAUCUCUAAGUGUGUGAAAGCACAUGACCCCUCGGGGAAUUUGCACAGGUGCUGCAUGGCUGUCGUCAGCUCGUGUCGUGAGAUGUUGGGUUAAGUCCCGCAACGAGCGCAACCCUUAUGUUUUGUUGCCACUUUCGCUUCGGCGGAAAGCACUCUAAACAGACUGCCUCGUCUCAACGAGGAGGAAGGUGGGGAUGACGUCAAGUCAGUAUGGCCCUUACGGCCAGGGCUGCACACGUACUACAAUGCCCAGUACAAUGGGAAGCAAUACCGCGAGGUGGAGCAAAUCCUCAAAACUGGGCCCAGUUCAGAUUGUAGUCUGCAACUCGACUACAUGAAGUCGGAAUCGCUAGUAA